UACGUAGGGGGCAAGCGUUGUCCGGAUUUAUUGGGCGUAAAGAGCGUGUAGGCGGCUUGGUAGGUCCGCUUGUGAAAACUCGAGGCUUACCACCACGACGCGGUGGAAACCUGACGAGCUAGAGUCCGGAAGAGGAGAGUGGAAUUCCUGGUGUAGCGGUGAAAUGCGUAGAUAUCAGGAGGAACACCCUGGUGGUGAGCUGA
rnacentral:rRNA from 1 species